CCUUUUCCUAUUUGUUGUUGUUUCCUGUUCUGUACGCUACUGAUUAGUGUUGGAGCACUUCGGCGGCAACUUCAAAGCGUCCAGAGGGUCCUUCGUCGUCACCAACUUCAUGGGUGGUAGAAGCCGACAGGCCAGAAACGCAGAGGUUGUUUAGCGCUUUGUCAUGCUACGACUUUCAGCGGGGCUGAAGAGCUGGUGGGGCCCCCACAUGCGCACUCACGUCCCGGCACAACACCGAGCUCUGUCGUCUCUCGGCUUUCAUACCAGAGUUGUCCGUCGUGAGGAAGUAAGUUUGCGUGCUCAUUAUUCAAACGUGUAGUUUUUCGCCAGCGUCAACGUGCAUCUGUUCCAAAUGGUUGUCCUAGAGGGCGGAGGAAUGCUGUCUUCUUCCGGAAAUCAAUACCUGCAGCCGGAUUAUUUGUCGCCGCUGCCGACAACGUUGGACGCUAAAAAGAGUCCGCUGGCGCUCCUCGCCCAGACCUGCAGCCAAAUCGGCGCCGACACCCCAUCGUCCAAGCCUCUGAUUUCCCCUUUAGAAAAACCCAAGAAGAACCAAGACAACGCCGCCCGCUCACCCUCCGUGAAAACCGAGAAAAACACCCAGAGAAGCAGCCCGUCGGAGAACAAGCUCGUGUUCAAACCCUACGAAACCACCGUCGUGACCAAGAAGGAGGACACUCGCCCCAGCUCCAAGUCUAGUUCUGUUCCUCAAAAUCCACAACCCGACGAAAAAAAGCCCGAAAGCCCCGACCGCAAAUCCGUGUCUCCGGCCACCAGCACCUCCGCCACUCCGGCCCCGGAAACUGGAAAGACCUCUCCCCCUUCGACUGAGAGCAAGUCGUCUCCGUCGGCGCGCGGCGCCAGCCCCAUAAUCCGAUCCGGGCUCGAGAUCCUGCAAGGCCACCCCAAAGACACCCCUCUGGGGGCCUACAAGCACGGCUCCUUAUCGUCCGGUUUAUCGUCGGGAUUGAACGGCCCCUUGGGAUCGCUGUGUUGUCCUCCCGGCCUCGAACACACGAAUCCGGCGUUCCGGCCCCCGUUUCCGGGGGCGCCCUUCUCGCACCACCACGCCGCCAUGCUCGCCGCGGGCUACCCGGGCGCCACGCCAGGACCGUACUUGAGUUACGCGCGCGUGAAGACUCCCUCAGGUGGUGAAGCUCUAGUUCCGGUGUGUAAAGACCCUUAUUGCACCAGUUGCCAGUUCAGCAUGCACAACCAGCAGUUGUUGAUGAGUGGUUCAGGGCCGUGUCCCAGCGGAUGCACGCAGUGCGACCACCAGAAGUACAACCUGGCGAUGGCGAUGUCGCUGGUUCCUCCAGGCCCGGUGCCGCCGUCGUCGCUGGCAUACCCCCAACUGGGGAGACCGUACGUGUGUAACUGGAUAGCCGGAGAUACUUAUUGUGGGAAGAGGUUCGUGACGAGCGAGGAGUUGCUGCAGCAUUUGAGAACACACACGAGCGGGUCGGAUGGUGCUGGGGUUGCUACGUCUUCGGCGUCGCCGCUGCUAAACCCGCACUCGCUGUUCUCGUCGGCGUCGUUGCACAGGCCCGGGUAUCCGAACCCUCCGCUGAGCCCGUUGUCCGCGGCCAGGUACCACCCGUACGGGAAACCCACCUUGCCUAGCUCUCUGGGGGCUUCUCCGUACAGUGCUUUCAACCCGACGGCCCUUGGAGCUUACUACUCUCCGUACUCGGUGUACGGACAGCGUCUCGGCGCCGCCGCCGUGCACCCGUAGUGAUACUUUGGAUCGUAUGAACAUUCUUCGCGGAAACUCCAGGAACGACGAGAGUAAGCGGUCCUGUAGUUCGCCUUCGGGAAGGAUGUGAUUCUCAUUGACUGUACAGCCCGCGCCUGUACCGGUCUGUUGCUCCACUGUGAUAACGUGUAUAUAGAAGCUGAAGCUAAGUGCAAUCUGAAGCGGACUAAUCAUAGGCAAUAAAUUCCGAUCAGUCCAAUUCUAAGUUAUUCUCUCGUUCAAUACUUAUCUUUGAAUUGAAAUAUUUGUAUAGACUAAUGGCUUUGUUGUUUCAUUUUGUGGGGGCAGGUGGGCUGGCAGAUGGGUGUGAAAGCCACAAUGAUGGAUUGCCGGCGAGUGACCUUCCCUUGGCAUCUCCAAUCUCUUGUGUAUGAUGGAUCACCUGAGCACGUCACGAGCUCAUUCAUCAUCGCGUCUUGGGGUGACGGCACGCCACUGCGCUAAUUGAAACCCGUUUCGAAAUGCCCCAAUAAAUACAUUAUCGUGUGUCGGGAGCAGUUUGUUUUCGUACAGAUAACAAACCGUAAAACGUUCAUCAAACGUCUAUAUUUCUCUCAAGCGCAGGCGUUCGCCGGAGGACGUGUUGUUAGGCGCGUUUAAGAGG